rnacentral:lncRNA from 1 species
GCCCGGGUGGCACCGCGACAGUCGCGUCCCGGGGGCCUCGUCCUCGCCACCUCCCCGCUGCGGGCCGGGGCACUCGGGGCUUCCUGCCCUCAGAACUGUGCCCUGGGUGUGCACGUGGGGCCGAGGGUCCCCUGGCCUGGGCGAGGGUGCAGGGACCCGAAACUGGGUGACUCUUCCCGGUCCCGGUGUGGCUGUCCUGUAACCAUGACGACUGCGGGCUUUGGCACGUGGAUGUGGAUGCAGAGCCUGAAGGGCACGCAAGGCCUCGGGGCAUGUGGAGUCCCCGGAACUGGAACGUGUGGGCAGCGUGGGUGACCUGUGCUUGCACAGGCCUCGUUGUGUCUGUCACCUGUUGGAUCACAGGCGCUCCGACCAGGUCUGCACACCAGGAAGCAAAGGAACAUGGCUCAUUCCCAGGGAAUCCAGGAGCGUGCAGAGACUCCUGAAGAAGCAGGCACGUUGGACUACCGGCUUGAGCUUGGCUCUCCGAGCUGAGCUGAACUGCUCCCACGUUUUCUCUUCCUCUCCAGAACUAGGAAAUACAU